CAAAGACAUACAUAUACAAUAAUGUCCGCCAGGUAUUACGAGCAUCAGCUUAAAAUCCAAAGGACCUGACGGUGCCUUAGACCCCCCUAGAGGAGCCUGUUCUAGAACCGAUAAUCCCCGUUAAACCUCACCAUUUCUGGCCAACCCAGCCUAUAUACCACCGUCGCCAGCUUACCCUAUGAGGGAACAAAAGUAAGCAAAAAGAGCACUGCCCAAAACGUCAGGUCAAGGUGUAGCGAACGAAAUGGGAAGAAAUGGGCUACAUUUU
rnacentral:rRNA from 1 species